GAACUGCGAUAAGUAAUGUGAAUUGCAGAAUUCAGUGAAUCAUCGAGUCUUUGAACGCACAUUGCGCCCCCUGGCAUUCCGGGGGGCAUGCCUGUCCGAGCGUCAUUGCUGCCCUUCAAGCCCGGCUUGUGUGUUGGGUCGUCGUCCCCUCCGGGGGACGGGCCCGAAAGGCAGCGGCGGCACCGCGUCCGGUCCUCGAGCGUAUGGGGCUUUGUCACCCGCUCGAUAAGGACCGGCCGGGCGCCAGCCGGCGUCUCCAACCUUUUUUUCUCAGGUUGACCUCGGAUCAGGUAGGGAUACCCGCUGAACUUAAGC
rnacentral:misc_RNA from 1 species